rnacentral:rRNA from 1 species
GUAGUCCACGCCGUAAACGAUGGGUACUAGGUGCUUCGGGGAGCGACCCCUGGAGUGCCGGCGCUAACGCAGGAAGUACCCCGCCUGGGGAGUACGGCCGCAAGGCUGAAACUCAAAGGAAUUGACGGGGGCCCGCACAAGCGGUGGAGCAUGUGGUUUAAUUCGACGCAACGCGAAGAACCUUACCCAGGCUUGACAUGCACAGGAAGUAUGGCAGAAACGCCAUACGCUCUUCGGAGUCUGUGCACAGGUGCUGCAUGGCUGUCGUCAGCUCGUGUCGUGAGAUGUUGGGUUAAGUCCCGCAACGAGCGCAACCCCCGUUCCUAGUUGCCAGCGAGUAAUGUCGGGGACUCUAGGAAGACUGCCGGUGCGAAACCGGA